UUGCCGACCUAGUGACAUAAAAAAAAAACAAAAACGAUCUUAUCGCGGCUAGUGACAUCAAGUGACAACUCUAAUAUUAUUCUUAAAAAACACAACAAUUACUCUAUC